CACAAUUUGUCACCAGUCCAUCAGUGAAGGUUCCUUUCCACCAAAACAUCUGCUGUCCUAAAUAGAGCCGACUGGAAUCUACACAUUCCGCAGGACUUAACAAAAUACCAGACGAGGGAGGGUGAGAGCACUCCGGGGUCGAGGAUGAAUGAAUCACCGACUGACCAAUAGUGGGGCUGCGGAGGAAAUUUGCUUACACGUCAAAAGGUUUUUUUAGUCACUUUGGUCGUCUCUGCUGUUGGCAGGUCAAACCAGCUAUACAUAACAACCAGGAACUCUCAAGCAGGCCUGUUUGAGCUUAAAACAGGCUCAAGUAUUAAAGAGAAUCAUCAGUGUUGCUCAGAUCUUUACAAGCUUAAAAGUAGAACGUAAGACUUUAGAUUGUUAUGUGUUCAAAGCCCAGACAGUAGACUGCUUUCUCAGAAGUCACUUUUGUGCUGAUACAGUCUCAGUGAGAACAAUGGAUCUACCCAACAAACCGUUGAGACUUUAAGGUGUGUCCACCGUUUUCAACUUGGGCAGAAGAUCUGUUCUUUGUUUUGGCCACAAGAUGGCAGGUGAAAUCGAGCUUGUGCAGCCCUUAUUGGAACCCUCCCACCCCUAACUCCAUCACACCCCCCUCAGACAUUUCCGUGUUGAGCUUGCACCACACUUUCUACUUGUGUAUCCUGCGUUUACUUGGGUCGUCAUAGCAGCAGGCUGACGGCAAGAAAAAAACAGGUAAGAGGAUACGGGAGGAAAAUGCCAUUAGGAAGUACGUGGGAGUGUUUUCAAAUCCAUGACCUCAGUGAACUCAAGUAACACAUCGCUCAGAUAUUUGACCAGUUUAAUUUCACUGCAGAUAUCUCUCUUCAACACAGUCAAAUCCCUCAGCUUGAAGAAAAAGAAAAGAAAAAUCACUGCAGAACAACAAUCAAGCAAACAACAAAACGGAACAGAGUAUUCAACAAUAAUAUGGGAAUCAAUCUGCAAUUAAUGUAAAUUAUGAACAUCAAUGUUUAGAUAAUUUGUUCCAGGUGUGCAAUCAAAUCUCUAGUCGUUUUCAGAGGUGAUCCUCCCAAAACUAGAAUUUCUACACAGUCAUCCUGAGAAUCACUGAGUGAACUUCUUUCUUUUCCCUGCCAGUUGAAGAAUUUGUCUUUAUGCUCAUGUUUGCCACAGUGGCUUCAAUAUACACUCACCGGACACUUUAUUAGGUACAUCUGUUCAGUUGCUUAACACAAAUAGCUAAUCAGCCAAUCACAUGGCAGCAAUUCAAUCCAUUUAGGCAUCUAGACAUGACGAUGAUGACUUGCUGAAGUUCAAACUGAGCAUCAGAAUGGGGAAGAAAGGGGAAUUUACGCGAUUUUUGAUGGUUGUUGGUCCCAGAUGGGCUGGUCUGAGUAUUUCCGAAACUGCUGAUCUACUGGGAUUUUCACUCACAACCAUCUCUUGGGUUUACAGAGAAUGGUCCAAAAAAGAGAAGACAUCCGUGAGCGGCAGCUGUGUGGCUGAAAAUGCCUUGUUGAUGUCAGAGGCCAGAGAAGAAUGGGCAGACUGGCUGAAUGAGUGACUGCAUGAUGCCAUCAUGUCAAUAUGGACCAAUAUCUCUGGAGAAUGUUUCUAACAACUUGCUGAAUCUAUGCCAUGAAGAAUUAAGGCAAUAUUGAAUACUAGCAAAGUGUACCUAAUGAAGUGGCCGGUCAGUGUAGACACUCAUGUUAUGGUACAGGUUUGCCACCGGGUAUCCUUCCUGAUGCAACUGCAUAUGUGCAUGAGGUACAGCUGCCCUUUAACUGGAGACCUUCUGUUUGGGAGGAAUUUACUGUAUUGUCCACAGUAGUUGCAGCUUUUUUACUAGUUUGGGAGGCCCUGCGACUUAUAAUCCAGUGCGAAGCAUAUACUGAAAUAUCACAUUCAUUAAUAAUAAUAAAAAUUUAUAUUGAGCUUUCCCGGGAAUCAAUGAUUAAACAAAAUAAACUCCAAUAAUUAAUGCCAAUCAUAAAAUUACACAACAACUAGUUAAAAGAUAUGAUAAUACACAAAACAAGUGCCAUGAUUUGAAAGACUUAGACUUCUAAAGUGAGUUUGAACUAAAACCUAUGAAUGGAAUAUCUGGGAAAUAUAAUAGAUUAUAGCCGAGCAGACAU